UUUUAUGGAGAGUUUGAUCCUGGCUCAGGAUGAACGCUGGCGGCGUGCCUAAUACAUGCAAGUCGAGCGAACGGACGAGAAGCUUGCUUCUCUGAUGUUAGCGGCGGACGGGUGAGUAACACGUGGAUAACCUACCUAUAAGACUGGGAUAACUUCGGGAAACCGGAGCUAAUACCGGAUAAUAUUUUGAACCGCAUGGUUCAAAAGUGAAAGACGGUCUUGCUGUCACUUAUAGAUGGAUCCGCGCUGCAUUAGCUAGUUGGUAAGGUAACGGCUUACCAAGGCAACGAUGCAUAGCCGACCUGAGAGGGUGAUCGGCCACACUGGAACUGAGACACGGUCCAGACUCCU
rnacentral:rRNA from 1 species